GGGGAUUUAGCUCAGUGGUAGAGUGCUUGCCUAGCAAGCGCAAGGCCCUGAGUUCAGUCCCCA
rfam:Rattus norvegicus chromosome 1, whole genome shotgun sequence.